GACGAACGCUGGCGGCGUGCCUAAUACAUGCAAGUAGAGCGCUGAAGGAGGAGCUUGCUUCUCUGGAUGAGUUGCGAACGGGUGAGUAACGCGUAGGUAACCUGCCUGGUAGCGGGGGAUAACUAUUGGAAACGAUAGCUAAUACCGCAUAAUAGCAGCUAUUGCAUGAUAACUGUUUGAAAGGUGCAAUUGCACCACUACCAGAUGGACCUGCGUUGUAUUAGCUAGUUGGUGGGGUAACGGCUCACCAAGGCGACGAUACAUAGCCGACCUGAGAGGGGGAUCGGCCACACUGGGACUGAGACACGGCCCAGACGCCUGCGGGAGGCAGCAGUAGGGAAUCUUCGGCAAAGGACGGAAAUCUGACCGAGCAACGCCGCGUGAGUGAAGAAGGUUUUCGGAUCGUAAAGCUCUGUUGUAAGAGAAGAACGAGUGUGAGAGUGGAAAGUGCACACUGUGACGGUAUCUUACCAGAAAGGGACGGCUAACUACGG
rnacentral:rRNA from 1 species